UACGUAGGGGGCGAGCGUUGUCCGGAUUCAUUGGGCGUAAAGAGCUCGUAGGCGGCUUGGCAAGCCGGGUGUGAAAACUCCAGGCUCAACCUGGAGACGCCACCCGGGACUGCUAUGGCUAGAGUCCGGUAGGGGAUCACGGAAUUCCCGGUGUAGUGGUGGAAUGCGUAGAUAUCGGGAGGAACACCAGUGGCGAAGGCGGCUUCCUGGACCUGUUCUGACACUGAGGAGCGAAAGCGUGGGGAGCGAUCCGG
rnacentral:rRNA from 1 species